rnacentral:rRNA from 1 species
AGGACGAACGCUGGCGGCGCGCUUAACACAUGCAGGUCGAGCGAGAACCAUUCCUUCGGGAAUGGGGACAGCGGCGAACGGGUGAGUAACACGUGGGUAAUCUGCCCUCGAUUCUGGGAUAGCCCGGGGAAACCCGGAUUAAUACCGGAUAGCCUCUCGAGCUUUCGAGCUCUUGAGAAAAGGUAGCUUCGGCCUCCGAUCGAGGAUGAGCCCGCGGCGGAUUAGCUUGUUGGUGGGGUAAUGGCCUACCAAGGCGACGAUCCGUAGCUGGUCUGAGAGGACGAUC